GAUGAACGCUGGCGGCGUGCCUAAUACAUGCAAGUCGAGCGAACAGACGAGGAGCUUGCUCCUCUGACGUUAGCGGCGGACGGGUGAGUAACACGUGGAUAACCUACCUAUAAGACUGGGAUAACUUCGGGAAACCGGAGCUAAUACCGGAUAAUAUAUUGAACCGCAUGGUUCAAUAGUGAAAGACGGUUUUGCUGUCACUUAUAGAUGGAUCCGCGCCGCAUUAGCUAGUUGGUAAGGUAACGGCUUACCAAGGCAACGAUGCGUAGCCGACCUGAGAGGUGGACCGGCCACAUGGAAACUGAGAACCGGCCCAGACCCCUAGGGGAGGCAGCAGUAGGGAAUUUUCCGAAAUGGGCGAAAGCCUGACGGACAAACGCGGGGGGAUUGAGGAAGUUCUCCGGUCGGUAAACCUUUGUAAUAAGGGAAGACAAAAUGGGUAAGUAACUAUGCACGCUUGGAGGGUACCUAACAAGAAAGCCCCGCCUAACUCCUU
rnacentral:rRNA from 1 species